UACGGGGGGGCAAGCGUUGUUCGGAAUUACUGGGCGUAAAGGGCGCGUAGGCGGCCUUCUAAGUCAGACGUGAAAUCCCUCGGCUCAACCGAGGAACUGCGUCUGAUACUGGAAGGCUUGAAUCCGGGAGAGGGAUGUGGAAGUUCCAGGUGAUAGCGGUGAAAUGACGUAGAGUAUCAGGAGGAACACCAAUUGCGAAGGCAGCUCGCUGGGACGUUACUGACGCUGAGACGCGAAAGCGUGGGGAGCAAACAGG
rnacentral:rRNA from 1 species